rnacentral:misc_RNA from 1 species
UCAAACUUGGUCAUUUAGAGGAAGUAAAAGUCGUAACAAGGUUUCCGUAGGUGAACCUGCGGAAGGAUCAUUAACGUAUCCCGGCGGCGCGGGCGCCUCCCAGCUCCGGCCACAAAGCCGUGCAGCGGGCUGCGCACGUGCCGCCCAACCUUUGCAAACCCCACUGUGAACCUUCACGGCAGAGGGUGCUGGCGAGAGCCGCACCCAAAGCCGCUUUUACCAAACUCUAGUAUCAAAAGAAUGUCUAGUGGCCUCUGCGCCACCUAUGAAAUUUGACAACUUUCAACAACGGAUCUCUUGGCUCUCGCAUCGAUGAAGAACGCAGC